rnacentral:rRNA from 1 species
AUGAAUUGACGGGGGCCCGCACAAGCGGUGGAGCAUGUGGUUUAAUUCGAUGCAACGCGAAGAACCUUACCUGGUCUUGACAUCCACGGAAGUUUUCAGAGAUGAGAAUGUGCCUUCGGGAACCGUGAGACAGGUGCUGCAUGGCUGUCGUCAGCUCGUGUUGUGAAAUGUUGGGUUAAGUCCCGCAACGAGCGCAACCCUUAUCCUUUGUUGCCAGCGGUCCGGCCGGGAACUCAAAGGAGACUGCCAGUGAUAAACUGGAGGAAGGUGGGGAUGACGUCAAGUCAUCAUGGCCCUUACGACCAGGGCUACACACGUGCUACAAUGGCGCAUACAAAGAGAAGCGACCUCGCGAGAGCAAGCGGACCUCAUAAAGUGCGUCGUAGUCCGGAUUGGAGUCUGCAACUCGACUCCAUGAAGUCGGAAUCGCUAGUAAUCGUGGAUCAGAAUGCCACGGUGAAUACGUUCCCGGGCCUUGUACACACCGCCCGGCUCACCAUGGGAGUGGGUGCAAAAGAAGUAGGUAGCUUAACCUCGGGAGGGCGCUACCAUCUUUGGAUUA